UUGAAAGGGAAACGAUUGAAGUCAGUCGUACCGACGAGAAAUCAACCUAUCGUGUGCGAACUUGUGGGCGUGCGUGAGUUUCGGCCUCGCUGUUUGCAUGUUUGUGCGCUUUGGGUGUACUUUUUCGUAUGGUAGGCCAACGUCAGUUUCGAUUAUCAUAAAAUGACCGGCGGAAUGUAGCUUCGAUUUCGGUUGAAGUGUUAUAGCCUCUGGUAGAUGUGGUGAUUGAGACUGAGGAUUGCAACGAAUACCCUUUGGGCUAUCCGUCUGGCCUCUGAAAGUUGCUCAGGUGCCGAAAGCGUGCUUACGGUCAUCUAAGAUAACGUUCAACAGGUUAGAACGUGAUUACAUUCGUUAAGGAUGUUGAC
rnacentral:rRNA from 1 species